GCUGCUGUAGAGGAAGGAGGUGCUGCUGUAGAGGAAGGAGGAGGAGCUGCUGUAGAGGAAGGAGGAGGAGCUGCUGUAGAGGAAGGAGGAGGAGCUGCUGUAGAGGAAGGAGGAGCUGCUGUAGAGAAAGGAGGAGCUGCUGCAACGAACAAGAAGGUCAGAGGAAGUAUCAUGAACAUCUAGUGUCUGCAGGGACGUUCUGACCAGGAACAUCACAGGAACAUCACAGGAACAUCACAGGAACAUCACAGGAACAUCACAGGAACAUUACAGGAACCUCGGGUCCAUCACAGAAGACUCAGGCUCCUCGAGCUCCGACCCUGUGAACCUGCAACACGAAGCAGCAACGUGUGACUUGAGCCACUGAGCAGAGCGGAUUCAAACCAUCAACGUGUUCUCAAAGGAUCUCAGGACUUCAUAUAGUUCACAUAUUUAUGAAUCAGAGAUUCUGGAUAUUGUUUUCUAUUUGUUAAGUUAUUUCUAACCUUCCUCUAGUUCAUUAGAACGUCUGAUGACUGUUUCCUGUUCUUCUAUUCUUCUGUUGACUCAGAGAACGACUCAACUGAUUCCAGGUCUGUGAGAGUUCCUCUGGACGAUGGAUUUAAUGUUUGUAUUCAUAUAAGAAAAGGGAACUGAUAAAACUGCAAAUAAGUUAUUUCUCAUAAAAUAUUAUUUUACUAGUUCAUUGUAAAAUGUUGAUCUUUUGUAAAUAAAUGAAAACGUUGUCAAACAGUUUGAGUUCAUGAGUUUUAUCAUUAGAAUUAUUUAAAACAAAAUUUAUUCUGGUGAAAAUGUUUGUGAUUCUGAUGAUAAACAAUAAACUUUGAUUUGAUUUGAUAA